CACACAGACUGGAGGAGUUGUCAGAGCAAAGGAAACAUUUGACUGCAGAACUGGAGGCAACAGUGGAUGACAUACAAAAAAUACCUCGCUAUGUAUCAGAAAAAGCUAUAUUUAUACCACCUGUUGAAAGGGAAUUGUCUAAAAUGCAUAAACUAUCUGAAAAGAAGCAACAAUUGUUAGAAAAGUUGGAAUCUAAUCAGAAAGAGUUACAAGAGGCUCAACAUCUUGCAGCUACCCAGCCAGGCAGUGUCAGUGCACACAGGCUGGAGGAGUUGUCUGAGCAAAGGAAACAGUUGACUGCAGAUUUGGAGGCAACAGUGGAUGACAUGCAAAAUGCAUACUGUUAUGCCACAGAAAGAGCUGUAUUUGUACCACCUUUUGGUAAGUACAGGAUAAAUUAGUGAUGCCAUGGAAGGUUGCUUAACUUUUCUUAAUGGCAUGGCUUGCUCUGGGGAAGACUUAUAUACAUCAUGAGUGCACAUGGUUGUCUUAGAUCUAAUGCCAAUUCUCUAUUUGAGUCAUAUCCUUCCCUAAGAAAUCUCACUCAGCGUUUUUCAUUAUAUGUAGUAAUAUAAUAUUUGGCUCAUAAGUGAUAACAAACUUUCAUAUUUUUAAAUCAAAGUGCAUGAGAUUUGGUUUAACAAAUCAUUUUUAAUGUAUAUUUCUGGACAAUAUUAUUUUUGACCAUAUUUUUCAAGAAAUUAUGCAGAAACAUUUCUGCUUACAGCAAGAGACUUAGAUGAGCUCUCCGAGACGAAACAAGAUUUGAUGGGAAAGUUGGAAUCAAAUUGGAAGGAGCUACAAGAAGCUCAGCAACUUGCAAUUUUACAACCAGGAAGUAUCAGUGAUCAUAAGCUGCGGGCAUUAUUUAACCAAAGAAGGGAAUUGACUGAGAAACUACAGGCAGCGGUGCAUGACAUAGAAAAGGAACAGAGGCUUGCUGUAGAAGAAACAGGAAUUAUGCUGCAAUCUGGAAAGGAAUUGUGUGAGCUGUCUGCAAAGAAGCAUGAAUUACUGGAACAGAUGAAAUAUAAUCAGAACGAGCUACGAGAAGCUCAGGAACGUGUAGCUACACAACGAGGCAGUAUUAGUGAGAGUAAACUACAAGAGAUAGUUGAGCAAGGAAAAUAUUUGAAUGAAAAGCUAGAAGAAACAUUGCGUGAUUUAGUAAAAGUUGAACGCCUUGCUUCAGCGAGAGCACUGGCUGGAAAACCUGAGGAAACAGAAUUAUAUGAGCUAUCUGCGAAGAAGCAACUUUUACAGUCAUAUUUGGAUUCCAAUUGGGAGGCUCUACAGGAAGCUCAGAAUCUUGCUAUUACCCAACCAGACAGUAUCAGCGAAGACAAAGUUCGGGAGCUUGCUGAGGAAAGAAAACAGUUGACUGCAGAGUUGAAGACAACUAUGCAAAAACUACAAGAGGUGGAACGCCGUGUUUCUAAAAAGGACCUAAUGGAAAGAACCAUUGCUGGUAAAACAAGGAGGCACAUAUGUCAUACCUCUAGAGUAGUGGUUCUCAACCUGGGUUCCCCAGAUGUUUCUGGCCUACAACUCCCAGAAAUUUCAGCCAGUUUACCAUUUGUUAGGAUUUCUGGGAGUUGAAGGUCAAAAACAUCUGGGGACCCCAGGUUGAGAACCACUUCUCUAGAACAUUCUGGAUGCUGUAAGGCACAACUGAUCCAUUUAUAUGCAUUCACAUAUAAGAAUUCACAGAACUAUAGUUACACCUAAGCAACCUAUCCGUACAUUUUUGAGUCCUGGAAUAAAGGAGAACAUAGUGUUAGCAGAGAGGCAUGUGAUGACUGUUUCUUAAUAUUUUUUUUCACUACCUGGUUAUCAUAGCCUUUUGUUAGCAAAGGCGUGUAUGUGGCCAGAUGGAAACUGCUACCAGAGUUGGAAAGAAUUCUCAGAUGGUGAAAUUGUGAAGAUUGUUUCAUUCAUGAAUGUGUCCAGCAUUGUGCAUAUCAGUGCCUUUGAAAAUAGACCCCACAACACUGCCAGAUACAUUUGACAUUAAAAUGUGGUGCCUAAUGAAACCAUCCUGCAGGUAAAAUAAUGUAUCCUGAAACAAGGAAGGCUGCUUUACCUUUAUUUAAUAGUUUCUGUUGUCUUGUCUCAGUGUAGCUGCUUUCUACUAGACACGAAAUCCUACAUAUAUCACAAAAUGAAAUAAACAAGAAGAAAAAACCCAAUCAGAAAAAGAAGGGCUAUAGGAUUUUGAACCUUUAUUUACAUCAAAGGCAGUGUUAAAGCAAAAAACUUAUGUAAUAAAAUUUGAUAACUGAUUUUUGAAUGAUUUGCAUCGGAGAUACACAUUGUCUAUUUUACCCUUAAUAUAUUUUAAAAAAGAGGCCAAUGCAAAGAAGCUGUCAAAUAUACCUAUAUUUCUCAAAAGUCUCCAUUUAGAGGCCAGUGUCUUCAUAUGUGUCAGGAACCAUAUGUUUAUCUUUGACCAGUGUUAUUAAAUGUUUCAGAAUAAAUGGAGAUUUAGAUAAUUUAGAUUAUUUUGAAUGAAUUUUUCUAGGCUGCUGACAACAUAGAUUAAAAAAGAUUAUUUAGACCAUAACCAGGCAUUCUCAUUUCCUCUGUUAGUGGUUUUUUGCCCUGCCCUAAGAUGUGCAGUCUGUGAUGGAAGAUGAAAAAGUAUUUGCCAUUUCUAAAAAGAAUCCAAUUUUAAACAUGUUUUUCUUCAUUUUGCAAGAUUGGAUAUUUGAAACUGUUUCUUCAAGAACAUUUGUUUUCACAGACCGAAAAUUAUAUGACUUAUUUGAAAAGAAGCAGCUGUUAAAAGCAAAUUUGGAAUCUACUUUGAACGAGUUAAAGGAAGCUCAGGCUCUUGAAGCUGCUCAACCAGGCAGUAUCCCUGGUAGGUUAUGUUCUGGUUACUGAUGCUCCCAGCUGCAACCUGAAAUAUAUUUUGUCAGAAGGUGGCUGUGACAAAAGCAUUGCAAACUGUAGAUGAUUGUUUGUCUAAUAGUAAACAAUGUGCCAUACAAUAAGUAAUUACCAUAUUAUUCCACACAAGGUAACACUAAACAAUGGAAUUAGAACUAUGUGGCCCUACAAAUGUUGAAUUGCAAAAUCAAAGGUCCUCACCAAGUGGCUGUUCUGGUUAUAUGCCAUUGAUUAUUGCAAACCAGCAUCUAGAGGACCAUAUAAUAUCCACUCCUGCACCACACCUCUUUCCUUUGGCAUAGCUGUAAGGCAAAACUUUCAGUUAUGUUGACUGCUGUCUUUCAUGGUAAUUUGUACAAACUGGUUAAUUUCAGAUUUUCAGCGAUGUUUAAUGGAAACUUCAUAUCACAGUAAAUUAAGUUAGGUUGUAACCCUUUACCAAUCAAAAUACAGUUUUGGGUCUAGACAAUAUUAUAAGUGGAUAAUGUACAUUUUAUUUAAAUAAUCUCAAAUAGAAUCAGAAAUGUCUAAUCUCCUUCUGGUCCUGCUGGAGGAGGAGAGACAAAAAUGGGGGCUUUUUACAUUCAAAUAUAGCCAAAACCAGGAAGGGUCUUUGCUUUACAUACAAAGAUAUUACAGUUCCAAAGUAAAAUGUUGUCAAAAAGGAAAAAAAAUUGGAAGAUGGGUUUAUCACAAUAUAUGUCAUAAUACUGUUUUAUUGUUUUUCAUGGCCUCUGUCUAGAAUAGAACUUUCUUAGAUGCAUGCCUAGCCACAAGUAAUUCUAAUAUAUAUAAUAAAUAGGAAGUGAAGAAGGUACUACAUAAGUGUCAAACAUUAAUGUUUCCAGAUAUUCAAUUCAUUUUUCCAAACACAUCUUUCACCAACACACCAACAUUAGUUGUACUUUUGUAUGCAGUUUAGUUAAUAGAUCAUAUUAAUAUUUUGUUAUGAAUUAUUCUGAAUUUGUUAAAUAGCGAAGAAACUGAAGGAACUAGCUCAGAAAAGAGAACGUUUGACUGAAGAUCUAGAAAAAACUGUUCAGGAUAUACAAAAAACAAAGCUUUCUUCUUUAGGAAAAGGUCAAAUUGAGAGACCUGCUGGUAAGUACAGAGCACAUUAUGUUGACUUUUAAAACAUGAUUAGGAUUAAGGUUGUAAUUGCUUCAGUGUUCCAAGCCCACUUAUUACUCUCAUUAGUCUGGUUGUCAGAUAUUGAUGUAUUGCCCUGAUAUUUCUAUCAUGCCUGGACUGAGUUGCAGUGUCUUCCUUCUCAAACUACAACUGCCCUAGGUGAGAUGAUGAUGAUGAUAGUAAUAAUAAUAAUAAUUAUUAUUAAUUAUUAAUAAUAUUAUCAAUAUUUUAUAUUAUUAAUUAUUAAUAAUAAUAUUAAUUAUUUCAUAUUUCACUCCAUCUCCCUAAGUGGACUCAGAGUGGAUUACAGUACAUAUAGCAAACAUUCAAUGCAUUAUACAAUUGACAAAGACAGACAGUACAUAAGCAGAGACAAGGCUUCCCUCUUUUCAUCUCUAGCAUCCGGUUGUGCUCCACUCGGCAUAAGCAGUUGAGGGGAGAAAAGAAAGGGCCUGAGGAUAUUAGGAAUUGUGGGAGUGGAAGUCCAAAACACCUGGAUGGCCGAAGUUUGCCCAUGGCUGAUCUAGAAUGUAGUUUGUUGUCAAUCUUCAUUAACAGAAGUAGCAUUCCUGCAAAAGCAUAACAGAACAUUUUUUUACAUACAAGCUCUCCAGCAGUGGUGAUCAAUGUGGGAUUAAUCAAGUUCAUUUUGUGCUUCAAAAUGAUUUCAGGGGUUAUUAAAGAUGCAUUUUUGUGUUUUAUCAGAAAAUUUACUAAGAAGACCCAGAGAAGACUUGGUACUUCCUAUGGCAGUUUUUCCUUGGACCUAUGGAGCCCAUGUUAAAACCUGUGCUUUAACCAAUCUUAGUGGGGCUUGAAAAUAUGUAUUAGAGACUUAAAUCAAGUUGUCUUCCAACACAACCAAAACAAUUUAAUGUAGAUUAUUUCUUACAAUCUAGAAUCUUGUCAAAAGAAGAAACACAUAUUUUUUUAAAAAAACUGCCAGCUUUAAAAUAUUUUUUUCUUUUAAGCAACUUUUUAAGCAAUAAAGACAUAAAACAAUAUCCUCAAGAAAUGCUUUAAAAUUCCUUUUGCAGAAAGAGAAUUAUAUGAACUAUCACAAAAGAAACAGAUGUUAUUGGAAAAUCUAAAAGAAUUACAAGAAGCUCAAGCUUUGGCAGCUACCCAGCCUGGCAUUGUUGGUGGUAUGUAUGGUGAUUUAUUGUUUCAGUUAAAUGUUUAAUACUUAAUCUUAGAACUAAGAUGCUUUAAUUGCCAAGGCCAAUUUGUGGGUAUAUACAAUUUUCAUUCCAAAUUAAAAUUUGUGAAAGUUGGAUCUGCCCAAAUAAAAAAGCUGUUUGGAUGAAGCGUUUCUCAGCUCCCUGAUAGACAUGUGGCAGGGAAUUCAAGCAUCUUGGUAAGCCAAGUUCAACACAGAUAAGUCUUUUGCGUCAGUAAUCUACAUUAUUUGCUGGGAAUGCUGACAUGAAUAAACUGAAAAGCAUGGUGAAAGACUUAGUAAACACAGUAGUACAGUCCAGCUUUAUAGAGUUCUACAAAGAAACAAGCCAAAAUAAGC
ensembl:lncRNA